UGCGCAGGCGGGCUUGUAAGUCAGUGGUGAAAUACUGCCGCUCAACGGUAGAACUGCCAUUGAUACUGCAAGUCUUGAAUAUGGUUGAGGUAGGCGGAAUGUGUCGUGUAGCGGUGAAAUGCAUAGAUAUGACACAGAACGCCGAUUGCGAAGGCAGCUUACUAAGCCAUUAUUGACGCUGAGGCACGAAAGCGUGGGGAGCGAACAGGAUUAGAUACCCUGGUAGUCC
rnacentral:rRNA from 1 species